UGGGCUAGAAUGCCCGUGACAGCCCCAGAGAUGGGGCCUCCUUGGUAAAACUUGGCACGGUGCAAGGUGCUGCAUGGCUGUCAUCAGCUCGUGUCGUGAGAUGUUGGGUUAAGUCCCGCAACGAGCGCAACCCUUAUCAAUAGUUGCCAGCGGUUCGGCCGGGCACUCUAUUGAGACUGCCGUUGACAAAACGGAGGAAGGUGGGGAUGACGUCAAGUCCUCAUGGCCUUUAUGUCCAGGGCUACACACGUGCUACAAUGGCCGGUACAAAGCGCUGCAAACCUGCAAGGGGGAGCCAAUCGCAAAAAACCGGUCUCAGUUCGGAUUGGAGUCUGCAACUCGACUCCAUGAGGCUGGAAUCGCUAGUAAUCGCAGAUCAGCAUGCUGCGGUGAAUACGUUCCCGGGUCUUGUACACACGC
rnacentral:rRNA from 1 species